rnacentral:tRNA from 1 species
CCAGGGGUGGCAGAGUGGUCAAUUGCACCUGGCUGUAAACCAGGCGCCCUUGUGGCUGCGCAGGUUCGAAUCCUGCCCCCUGGA